UACGUAGGGCGCAAGCGUUGUCCGGAAUUAUUGGGCGUAAAGAGCUCGUAGGCGGCCUGUCGCGUCUGCUGUGAAAUCCCGGGGCUUAACCCCGGGCGUGCAGUGGAUACGGGCUGGCUGGAGGCAGGCAGGGGAGAACGGAAUUCCCGGUGUAGCGGUGAAAUGCGCAGAUAUCGGGAGGAACACCGGUGGCGAAGGCGGUUCUCUGGGCCUUACCUGACGCUGAGGAGCGAAAGCGUGGGGAGCAAACAGG
rnacentral:rRNA from 1 species